GAUGAACGCUGGCGGCGUGCCUAAUACAUGCAAGUCGAGCGAACAGACGAGGAGCUUGCUCCUCUGACGUUAGCGGCGGACGGGUGAGUAACACGUGGAUAACCUACCUAUAAGACUGGGAUAACUUCGGGAAACCGGAGCUAAUACCGGAUAAUAUAUUGAACCGCAUGGUUCAAUAGUGAAAGACGGUUUUGCUGUCACUUAUAGAUGGAUCCGCGCCGCAUUAGCUAGUUGGUAAGGUAACGGCUUACCAAGGCAACGAUGCGUAGCCGACCUGAGAGGGUGAUCGGCCACACUGGAACUGAGACACGGUCCAGACUCCUACGGGAGGCAGCAGUAGGGAAUCUUCCGCAAUGGGCGAAAGCCUGACGGAGCAACGCCGCGUGAGUGAUGAAGGUCUUCGGAUCGUAAAACUCUGUUAUUAGGGAAGAACAAAUGUGUAAGUAACUAUGCACGUCUUGACGGUACCUAAUCAGAAGGCCACCUAACUACGUG
rnacentral:rRNA from 1 species